AUAACAGUGCGAAAGCGCUGCUAAUACCGGAUAUGGCCAGGAGGCGGUGGCUUCCUGGUCAAAGUCGGCCUCUCGCAGAAGCUGACGCACGGGGAUGGGCCUGCGUCCUAUCAGCUAGUUGGCAGGGUAAUGGCCUACCAAGGCUUCGACGGGUAGCUGGUCUGAGAGGAUGAUCAGCCACACUGGCACUGAAACACGGGCCAGACUCCUACGGGAGGCAGCAGUGAGGAAUUUUGCGCAAUGGCCGCAAGGCUGACGCAGCAACGCCGCGUGGGUGAAGAAGGCCUUCGGGUCGUAAAGCCCUGUCAGGUGGGAAGAAUAGCCGGGGGACUAAUACGCCUUCGGACUGACGGUACCACCAGAGGAAGCACCGGCUAACUCCGUGCCAGCAGCCGCGGUAAUACGGAGGGUGCAAGCGUUAUUCGGAAUUACUGGGCGUAAAGCGCGUGCA
rnacentral:rRNA from 1 species